GACAGAAGCUUGGGACAUUGUGUACGUGACUACUAGCCAUGCUUCUCCUGUGGGGGCUGUGGGAGUGGUAACUUCUACCGGAGCUGGGGGUCAUGAGACAUGAGGAAAAGCCUUCUGUCCCAUUUGGUGAAAAUUACCAUCACUGGUUUGACCGGGGUCAAAACCUCAGUGUAACUGGAGACCAGCCUGUCUGUGCAUAGCCCAUUGCCCCACACAUGUCCACAGAUGGCAGUGGCAGGAAGAAAGUCAUACUAGAUCAUGAACACCCAUUUAUCCAGAGUAAGAAAGAAUUUGGAUCUGAAAGUUGGGAACCAAGACAAGAGACUUUACAGGUUUGUAUGCUUUUAGCUGAGGAAAUGACAUAAAUUUUUCAUGCUUAUUGUAUAUGUCUUACAAAUGCAUAUAAUUUACAUAUUGGACCUAUUUGCCAAGAUUGAGAGUAUUAACUGCAAUGGCCCUUCCUCAAUUCUACCUCUAGAGAUUGACAAUCAAGUAUUUGCCCAGCAAAGAUGCAUUUAAUGAGAAAUCUCAGUCUUGCUGUUGGGACAGAUCCCCAUAUUGAAUUUGCCUUUAUUUUUCAUAGUUUAUCAAUAUUGCCUUAGUUAAUUAUUUUCUUUUUCUUUUAUGACCAGUGGAAACCUACUUGUCUUUCCUGUCACCUUCUAAGAAAGCAGCAUGACGUUUCUUCAGAAUGGGAAAGCUUUCAAUGAUGUCUUAUGCAACAUUCUUUCAUUCCUCUCACAUAAAUGGAAUAUGAGUUAUUCUCAAUUAUAGAUUUUUCAUCUUCAAUUCCAUUCUUCUAAGCCCGCAGGAAAUUCUCUUUUGAAUGCAGUCAUGAAGAAGAAUAUAUACCCCUUGCAAGUUAAGAUUGGUUGUAUCACUCACAUUCCUACUAUGAUGGUUUCUGACAAUGUUUUAUUUUACUUUCAUUUUGAUUCUUGAUGUAUCUAUUGAUGAAACAAACUAUAAAUUAACAGCUUUUCUCCAAUUCUACAACUUCUUAUUGUUUAUGUGAAUUCUGGUUUCAUAAUCUGCUGUUUUCUUCCUGGUCAAUAUCCUGAAGAAAGUGUAUUUGUGUGUGUGUAUGUGUGCGUGUGUGUGUGUGUCUGGGCUUUUCUCCCUACCCCUCUCUUUCACAUGGAAUCAUCUUGAAUUGUUCAUUGUCAUUUGAAAUAAGAGUACCGUGUUAUUCUCUGUAUUCAUAUUAAUUGUGAAAAGUAAUUGAUUUUCUCUUUUUCUGGACAUGGUAGAUUUGUUGCACUGUGGUCUCACAGCAGAUGUGGUUGUCUGUUCAAAACCUGCAGAAGAUCAAGCCAAUCAACAUUCCAGCAUAGAUCAUGGAGGGGCUCAUGCACCCACCCCUAGCUAAAGAGCUAUUGGCAGUUGUUAGCUGCCAACAGAGCCCCUUUAAGGGAUGUGGCCCCUGAGAGAAUGGUUAGCCACACUCCAGUGAAUGGCUCACCUACACUGAUGUAUAUAAGAGGCACUAAUAAAAGUCAGUGAACGUGAAAAGUAAAAGGGUAU
rnacentral:lncRNA from 1 species